GAUCUACAAAACUGCAGCACAUAUACUAAAAUUUGGAAUGAUACAGAGAUUAGCAUGGCCCCUGCGCAAGGAACCUCUUAACUUUACAUUCCAGUCUCUUUGUU